GUGGUUGUUUCCUUUUCGUCGAGCAUUCAAUGGCAUAUUUCGCUUCCUUUCGCCAAAAGGGGUUUCCCGCAGGAGGGAAGGGGAGGGGUAGACGUGUGACGGCGGUGCGGUGAUGUGACGGCGGCCCUGUCGAACGAAGGGGCGACGGAGCGCGGCGGCCCUAGGCGGAUCCCGAGCGGAAGGGGCGAGCGGUCCUUGGGGUGGAGGGCGGCCGGCGGCGUGGCAAGAGGCGGCAGUCUCCUUUCGUUCGCCUUGUCGCGCCCAGCUCCUUCCCCAUCCACUCCUCCUCUCUCCACCCUCUACCGGCCGCGACCCUCCUUUCACCGGCAGCGGCGGCACGUCAAGCGGACGUGGCUGUGCCACCGGCUGUUGCAGCGGCGGCGGCUCUCCAACUAAUCUCUUCGAGUAUUCUUUCCACGCUUGUAGUAGGAGUAAGUCCUCGAUAAACUCCCCGUGAUAAAGACAGUUCGAGUUUCCUACCUAAAGAAACCCGCACGGUUCGGAAUAUUUCUCUUGGGCUGAUAUUACUCUUACGUUUUUGAACGUUUCCUCAACCUACAACAUUAUGGACAUUCAAAGAAACUUCUUCGCCCGUUACGAGUAAUAUUAAGGCACCGGUAAUAACUACGACUACCGUGGCUAGAACCAGAUAUGGCGUUUAGUGUGUAAGGUCUACCUGGUCCAAUAGUUCUCUUUAAAAUAAAGUUGGGCCCACUGUGACCUAAGUUCCGAAAGUUUUGGUUCAUACGUUGUUAACCACAACCUUAAACGACCCUAGUCACCAAGGGUCUCUGGCGUUCCCGAUACCACGAUGUCCCCCGUCUUUAUAACAAGAUAGGGUGACGAUAACCAAGACUUGGGGUCCUAUACUUGGACCUGAGGGCGCUUGUGACCUUCGCACAGUACGUUCCGGUGCGGCCGCGAUUGAACCAAGGAGAACAACGAAGAUUGGCCUAUCCCUUCCUUUGCCAACUCUGACUCGUACCCUUGUCGUGGUAUUUCAAGAUGCCCUUAAGCAAGUAGCGUCCCGGUUGACCUCUUUAGCACUUCGAGCGUUUGCUGUUUCUACUCCUCCACGACCAGCGCCUCAAACUGAACCUGCUCUAGUUUAGAUGCUCCGUGCCGACCCCAUAUAAGUCCCUGUCCGCAGGACUAGAUAUGUUUCACGAUGACUGCAACCUACCGUUCUGUAGUAGUAGUAGGAUCCAAGGUGAAAAAACUUCUCCUGUGCUCCAGGCGUUAUGGCCCUCUUGUGGUUUGCCAUCUAGCUAGAAGAACAGAUCGAAGCGGGACGUAUUUAUCACUAGCCGGAGACGCAAAGGUCGAACCACUAAAAGCUGGCUAUGUAUUGUACUUAUUUUUAUGGCAGUACACUACUACUACACUGGCCUUGGUCUUAUAAACUUUACUUUCGUUAUACUUUUACUACGUAGCGACGAAGUGUCAACGAGUUGGUUGACAGACAUUACGCCUGGAUAGUUGGUUCACAGUGUACACAACACGAGGAAAAAGUAGUAGUUUGGUUCAGCUACGUCCCAAGAACACUCGGAUCUCACGAAACGUCGGACAUGAAUCAUUCAGGUAAACCUACUUGGAAAAAAAAACCCACGUGAAUCAUUCAUAAAACUAAAAAAAUUAUUAGAUAAUUUUUUCCGGUCAACCCGCUUAUAUCCUUUUUUGCGGGCAGCGUCACCACCCCGACCCCGCUUUAGACAGUGCAGGGGUUACGUCUCGGUCAGGAGGAACGACUGCCUGCUACUUGCCCUGCGCCAGCUGGGGUGCAUGCUGCCCGGGUGCCCGUCACACAAGGUGAACGUGUGAAAGAGACUUUAGAGUAGGGGUUAAGGGGAGCCGGAGUAGGGGUUAAGUAGAGAACGGAACACGAACUGUUAAGAAGGCGUGGGUGCGUGUUGGCGUUCUUUCUGGACUCGUAUCAUGCUCGAUCGUACCGCCUUCGAGACGAAGACGGCCACCAUGCGUAGUGCCGGCCGUUCCGCCGGCUGCGCGAGCAGGUCCCGCACCGGCCGUACACCCCGCAGCUGCCGCUGGCGGCGUUCGACCUCGCGGUCGACGACCGGCAGGUCACGUUCGACCGGCUGCGCCUCGAGUUCUCGCUCGAGUUGGGCCGGCAGGCCUCUACCUAGUUCCUGGAGUCCUGGCAGCGGAUGGUCCGGCUGCUGCAGGAGCUGCUGAAGGUGGUGCUCCGCGACGCGGCACUUCGGGUCCAGGCGCUCAGCUGGCGGGCGUUCCACGAGCCGAUAAAGUGGGGCGAAGACAAGGCAGAGUGUUACUCGACCUCCGACUUGUCACAGGAGUUGUUCUAGUUAGACGAACAGCGCCUCUACUCGCGAAAGCCGGACCUCUUGGUGCGCCUCCGCGGCGCACAACAAGAAACGGCCGUCUGCGUGAGCCGCGACCUGCUGUGGCGCGUCUAGAAACCGUCUCUACGGCUGUCCCUCCGCCACCAGUUGAACAACGAGCCGGUCGUUCUAGUAGUCUUUCACGUCCAGGACGGGUAGAAACCCUACCCGCCAAACCCGUUCUGGUGCGAACGGUUCUACCACAUGUUGCUGGGGUUCCAGGUCGUCGUAAAAGUCAAUGAGUACACCGUGACACGCAGCCUGUCGAAGCUUUGGCGACGGGAACACUUCAGGUAGUAACUCAACCGAUGCUCUCCCUCUACGCUGUAAGGCUGUGUUAGCUCGACGACGCUCCCUCUGAAGUCCUCCAGUAACCGACCUUUUCCAAAGACGAACAAGAACUGCUACAAACCUUACUUCAUGUCGUUUUCACCCUCCUAUGGGACUUUAGUCACAACACGAGGCAGCCACCAAGACCUUCGCAAUAUUAGCAGUGCUGAGCCUCGGGUGCUCGUCGCAGAUAUUACCCGUGCGAAGUUUGGGUACUCGACCGUGUAGACUCACUUCUCGUGAGCACCUUUGACAAGAGUUCCUUUCGAAAGUUCCUUUUACACGCACUCGUCCGUCUUAACUACAGCUAGCCGUUCGCAUAACAGUCGUUUACGUUCCCCGUGGGAGAACGAGACUCACGUUACCCCCCAAACUACUCAAGUUUUUCUGCUCGGACCCUUACCCUCCGGUAACGUCUUUCGUCAUAACCCCUAUCACAAUGUCCGUUUGUUCUUUAGUAUAGGUAUGAUUUUAAUUCGAUAGCCGUGAAUAGAAGACUUUACUUCGUCACGAAACGGAAGACGCGCCAGAAGAGGUUCUUGUCACUCUACCUUUUUUCGUACAACUAGGUUGACACCUACCGAUUACCCAAAUAAGUUUUUCUCCGUCCUUACUACCUAAACCUCGUCUUUCCGCUUAAACAAAAGUUGCUCAACCAAACCUCUAGGAAAGAAGUCCUACACCUUCACUUUGGUAAACUACUGGGUCGAAGUUCCGUACCAAACCAACCUACACCCUACGUACUAAAUUACGUACUGGAUCGUUUUCUACAAUGCCUACUUACACGUUGAUAUGUUCUCAACUAAGUCGUCUUUCGUAGACAUUUUCUACAGAAAGUGUACUUUUAUAGUAGUCUACUUAACCUUGUUACGGUACCUAAUGACUUUUCAUUCCUUAGAGAGGCUUGAAACAAUCGUGGCAGUAGUAGUGUCUUCCUAGAAUCGUUCAAUUCCGACUGUAGUAAUUCUCGUAAUAGAACGGCACCGGAAGUAUAGGCUGUUGGGUAUUUAUGUUUCGUAAACGCUAUAGAACUGGAAAGAGUAAGACUUUAACAAUGUAACGGUCUAAGCCAUACGUACAACAUGUUGAACGUCAGCGACUCUGAGUUAGUAACGGUGUUCGAGGCUAUAAAUGGACUUCCGUAGUCUUGGUACUUUUUGGAGGUGGUAGAGAUAGAGAAACUCACACUAUUUGACCUCGCCUACGGGGGUUUCUAAUCAGUUGAUUCGUUGGACGUGUGCGAUUGUAACAAACAACACCUGUGACCUCUACCAACACCUUAACUAGUUGAGUUUCUAGAUUUUAUGGAAUCGGUGGCCAACCUUGAUAUGUUAAACUAUUUUCAUCUCUCACACCACCUACGUUUUCUUCGGUUCGAGAUAGUCUUUUUCUUAGAUUCACUUGACAGCGAUACGACCCCAGCAGCUUUUAUAGUACCCGGAGUUCUACUACAACCAUUGUACCUUCUUCAUAACCUCCGAGAACGUGGAGUAUCACUCUAGUUCCAUAACCUCUAUGUACCAAUACCACCGUGAUUUAAGAGCAGUACCUACUACGUGAGAGUCUACACGGUCACGGAUUCUUUUGAGUAUUAGAAGUUGACGGGUUUUACGUUUGUAGAGGGUAGCCGAGGCGACAACCAGAGGGAGCUCAUAAACAGGAAUCCGAUGUACCUAUCGGACUGGUAUUAUACGUUCCUGUGACUACACCUCCAACUUCCUACGUUACGCAGAGUAGUCUAGAAGGGUUUUGAUUUUUCUUACCAGAAUCUUUUGAAUGGUCUCAACCUCUCUACCUGUCUUUUGUCAUGACGUCCCCUUGGAGUAUCGAACCACUACAAAGGAGACGAGCUUCUCGGUUCAUACAUACGGACAGGCUUCCAACGUUCACAAGGCUCGUCGGGUCAAGAUCUCUUCGACGCCUAUUACCUUUCAAUGUCAGAAGGUUAGUCGAGUUAGCGAGUAGACUGUUGCGAGAGACUCGAACUCAAACCACCUCUUAAGUAAGCAAGACGUUCGUACGGAAACCCGAGAACCGAUAGGGAGCACUUUAACUCACAAUCGAGUGACCCACUAUACUACGACGGAGGUCUCCUGGUCGUUUCGGUAUCCGGGAACCUUUGGGAAGUCUCAUACACCGAUAGACCAGGGUUAACGAAACUUUGCCGUAGGUGAAACAGUUUUAGCGUGGACGACUCCGAGACCCUCACGAAACCAAAACAACUUCUUGACACGUAAAGACCCACGCUGCUUGAACAGGUAACCGGUUACCUCCUCGAGGUUUUGGACUGAGCAGAGGCAAAAGACGCGUAAUCGAGGACGCAAUUCGAGUUCCCCUUCCCGAGCGGCAGACUAUUUUAGGAAGGCAACGGGGUCGACCUCUACAAUUCGUAAAUGUUGACACCGUCGAAUGCCAUAUAAGGACUCCACCGACGUAGGGAACUACUUGAUCACUAUCCUCUUACGUGUACAAACUACCGCGACGGAAGUUUACAUAGGUUCGACUCCCACGAGGCCUAAGUCCCGACGUUACCGAACUUUUGAAACGGGUUACCGGAGUGGAGAGAACUCGUCCACUGUUAACUCUCCACAUGUCCCUAUCUUUUUAAGGACGUCCUGGAGGAGGUUGCCGAGGGUCGUGAGUUUAGGAACUUCUAUCAACCAACGGGGUUGAACGUUUCUGUAACGUCUGUUCCACCCCUCAUAAAGGUGAACUAAAGGAGAUAAGGUGUAUUCCUGUAAGGUCGUCGUCUUUGACUCAGACCGUCCUACUUGGUCUGCAAAAAUUUCUCCAAUUACGGGAGGACGACUGAGAGUUCAGAGUUGACUCGUCGCAUCCUACUUACGCCACAACGCCAAAGUACUUCUUUCCCCGUUUCUCGGUUUCUGACUGGAACAGUAGGUACGGAACCGUCCUUAAACCAAAGGUCUAUGACGUUCCUGAUACAAGAUGUCCCCCGUCUCUAUAACAGGAUAGGGUGGCGAUAACCAAGACUUGGGGUGCUAUACUUGGACCUACCGCGAUUAAUCCAAAAGGAACAACGAAGAUUGGCCUAUCCUUCCCUUUGACAACUCUCUGACUCGUACCGUUGUUGUGAUAAAUCAAGAUGCUCUUAAGCAAGUAGCGUCCCGGUUGACUUCUUUAGCAGUUCGAAAGUUUACUGUUUCUGCUCCUCCACCAACGUCGUCUCAAGCUGAACCUGCUCUAGUUAAGGACUAUAUAUGUCGCACGACAACCCCAUAUAAGUCCCUGUACGCAGGACUAGAUAUGUUUCACGAUGACUGCAGUAGUAGGAUCCAGGGUGAAGAUACUCUUCCUGUACUCCAGGUGUUAUGGCCCUUUUGUCUCCCAGGUCCUUAUUAUGUAGACGACGUGGUUUACAACUCCAUAGAGACACAAACGUCGAACCACCAAAAGGUGGUUAUAUCGUACAUUGCUACACUGGUCUUUGUUUUUACAAACUUGUACUUCGUAUUAUUACGUAGUGACGAAGUGUCAACAACUUUGUAAAACUAAUAUGAGUAUGUCAAUGACUAAAAUCAAUGACUGUUACUUCAUCACCUAGUAUUAACCGCCUUAGUCGUAGAAACUGGGGGGUUCUAUGGUAAACGAAACCGACACUACGUCUGGAUAGUUGGUUG
rnacentral:rRNA from 1 species